CCAGACUCCUACGGGAGGCAGCAGUGAGGAAUAUUGGUCAAUGGUCGUAAGACUGAACCAGCCAAGUAGCGUGCAGGAUGACGGCCCUAUGGGUUGUAAACUGCUUUUAUGCGGGGAUAAAAUGCGUCACGUGUGAUGUUUUGUAGGUACCGCAUGAAUAAGGACCGGCUAAUUCCGUGCCAGCAGCCGCGGUAAUACGGAGGAUGCGAGCGUUAUCCGGAUUUAUUGGGUUUAAAGGGUGCGCAGGCGGCGUGUCAAGUCAGCGGUAAAAUGUCGGGGCUCAACCCCGGCCGGCCGUUGAAACUGGCGUGCUCGAGUUGGAGAGAAGUAUGCGGAAUUCGUGGUGUAGCGGUGAAAUGCAUAGAUAUCACGAAGAACCCCGAUUGCGAAGGCAGCAUACCGGCUCCACACUGACGCUGAGGCACGAAAGCGUGGGUAUCGAACAGGAUUAGAUCCCCGUGUA
rnacentral:rRNA from 1 species